rnacentral:lncRNA from 1 species
CCGGGAAGGGUGGAGGAAAGGAGAGCUUAUCUGAGCUCAUCUAUCUCACCUGACUGUGGAGAAGGCAUAUACCCCUAAUUCAUCUUUUGAGGUAUCACUAUCAACCCUGGAGAACCAGAGGUCAGCUAGCAAGUGCCAGAGACCCCAUCAAAGGUGCUCCUCGAAGUCUCUUCUACUUUUACUUACUUUUUUUCUUUCUACUUUUACUUUUUCACUUUUGUUUUUUGAUGGGGGAAAGGAGGCUGUGGAAUGCCAAGCCCAGGGGCAGGAGUGGGGAGAGCACAUAUGUAUCAGGU